UCCAGACCCGGACGGUGCUGCCAUAUUUGUUGUUGUAGUAGUUGCAGGCUGUUCCAAUCCCGGUCCAAAUGAAUCUGCUAUAAGAAAGGAUUGGACCAAGUCCUGCACAGAAACAGGGACCUAAAGCAGAGAGAAGUUGUGGUGAUGAGCAGAAACAGCAGCAGCAGCAGAAGAAGAAGCACAACGGGGGUGACUCCACACAGACUGUAAACCUCCAUCGUUAAAAACCACACGGUCCAAUUCAUCAACCAAGGAGGCUUUUCAAGGGGAAAUGAAUUAGCUGGGUCAGACUGACCCUUGUCAAAGGAAACUGGGACUUGCCCAGAAAUUCAAGGAGGGAAGUAGACAAUUGAAAAUAUAUGUAUGCAUAGUAAGUAGAUCGACUCAUCUGUAUUGAAUUUCCCUUUGAACUACCGCUUUAUUUUCUGCAACAAACUUUAAAAGGAAUAGAGAACUUAUAAAAAGCUUGAGUUCAGAAAAGGUUGUCCUUCAGCUUUUCUACACCAGAAAUGCUCCUAAUUUGUCUCAUGCUAUUCAGCUCUGCUGUUCCCCAAUAAACCUGGUUUACUCUUUGCAGCUGAAACUAUUUAAUAUCUGGAAUUCAAGAGCUGCAGUGGUGUGAAAAAGUUUUUCCCCCAUAAAGAUUUCUUUUUUGUCACACCUAAGCAUUUCAUAUCAUUAAUCAAACUUUAUUAUCACACAAAGAGAACUUCAGUAAAUAGCCACUUUCAAAUGCAUAAAAGAAAACAAACCAUCCAAAUCAGCCUGACCCUGUUUGGAAAAGUAAUGCAUUCCCAGCAGCAACUCUCAUCAAGGCUUUGCAACAUCUGGCAGUUGUUUAAAUUCAACCACAUUCAUGCAUGAGCAGCUUGUUUAAGGCAAUGCAGCAGUAUUUCAAUUGGAUUAAAGCCAAUCGUUUGAGCAGGCCUCUACAAACCUUUUUCUUUUUUUAAACUUAGCCAUUUGGAGGUGAGCUGGUGUGAUCAUAGUCCUGCUACUCAUCUCAGGUUAUAAACCGAUGGUCAAACUUUCUCCUUCUGGAUUUAUAGAGAGAUGGAUUUAUGGUUCCAUAAUUUUGCAGCAAGCCGUCCAAAUGCUGAAAUAGCAAAGCACCUUGUGAGUAUCACACUGCCAUUUCUAUAAUGAUGUUCUUUUUCUAAAGUGCUGUGUUGGUUUGGAGCCAGACAUAAUAGGACACCCCUUUCAAAAAGUUCAUACAAUAUUUUCCCAAAAAUACUCGGGACAUUUAUGUUAUUUUUGCCUCGGGGCCAUUUUUGUUACCUCUAAACUAAGAACAGUGGCCUUCACUGAGGCAAUGAAGGUUUUCAGUGGUUUCCAUGUUGUUCUGAGUUUUUCACCUCCUGGAUGGGUUGCAGACGCUCUUGUGGAGCAAUUUUAUUACACUGCAACAACACAAUUUGUUGCACUAGUUUCUUGUGCAAAUAUCUUAGCACACUUGAAAUAAGACAAAAUUAACUUAACAGUAACUUUUCACUAAGAUAUAGAGGCUAAUUUCAAGUAAAUAAUUCCUAAAGAUUGAUGAAAAAGUACUAGUUUCAUUGGCAGAUUAUUUCACUUAUAACAAGACAUUUUUCCGAUGUUAUGGGUUAAUUUAUCUGCUAAGUACUUUUUUAAUCAAUAUUAAGAAAUUAUUUACUUAA